UGAGUAACCUUGCCCUUAACUCUGGGAUAAGCCUGGGAAGCUGGGUCUAAUACCGGAUAUGACUCCUCAUCGCAUGGUGGGGGGUGGAAGGCUUUUUGUGGUUUUGGAUGGGCUCGCGGCCUAUCAGCUAGUUGGUGAGGUAAUGGCUCACCAAGGCGACGACGGGUAGCCGGCCUGAGAGGGUGACCGGCCACACUGGGACUGAGACACGGCACAGACUCCUACGGGAGCAG
rnacentral:rRNA from 1 species